CCGCCACAGUUCGUAUAAUUACACCCAAAAUACUCCCCCACCAUCCCUUUGUGUUAUCCCUAGAAAAUCCAACGAGAAUCCGUUCCAAUUUCAUUGAUUUUGAAACUAGAAAUUUCUAGGUUUUCAAGAGACAGAAACCUUCGUUCGAGGGCUUUAAAGGUGGAAUUGUUCGUCGACCAAGGUGUAAAGUUACUCCCCUUGAUGUGCUUGAUCUAUAGGUGUGGUUAUUGGCCGGUGGUUUGGAGUUUUUCGAUUGUCGAAAAAUUACUUUAGACACUCGCCAGCGGUGGAGGCGCAUGGAGGAGCUUCGGCGGGUUGUCAAGGUUGAGUUUUUGUCGUAAAAUGAUCCUCACGUCGUCCCGAGCAUGACGGUAUGCUCGGAUUUCAAUUUGGUUAUUGUUUGAUCGUCGAUCGGAUAUCGCAUAUUAGGCGUUCUCUGGGUAAGAUAUGUUCGGACCGUUGGAUCGACUUCAUUUUCAAAUAUGUUGAUCUAGGCACCUCUAGAAUCGUGUAGAAAUUCAUGGAUAAAGAAUCAGAGUCUCAGAUACUCUGAUUAAUAAUCCAAAGUUUAAAUAAACGAUAACCGUCGGAUCGUGCUAUCGUGAACGAUCCGACCGUUCGAUUAGGACCAAACUUGUAAGGCAUGUUUAGUAAAGUGUGUUGACCUUAUAGGAACUCUCGGAUUGGUAAGCGGAGGUCAUGGACCCCACGGGGUACCAGGUUGACCAUUCUGGAAAUUUAAUCGCUUAUUGAAUCUUGGGUCUUUUCAGACCAUUCCACUUAUCAGAAAAUGUUGAAAAUGGGCCUGGGAACUUUUGUAAGUCACAUACACACACUUUUGAGGCCGGGGGUCAGGGUUUUGAUUAAAUAUCUAUGGUUGAGCAAUGUUAUUAAUUAUAUACUUUUAAUUGCUUAAAUAGGUACUUAGGCUUCAUUGAACUCAUAGGAAGGAUCCCCAAAAGGUGUUGGACGCUUAGUGAGUGGACUUUUGUUUUAUAAAUGGAUUUUAUGCAAUUAAAGUUUAAUUGAUUGAUUUUGAAUGAAUUAUUUAUGGCUAUUACUUUCCAAGCAUAAAUAUUUGAAUUCAAAUACUUUUGUUAUAUUAUGUUUAUGUUUAAAAUGUAAAUGGCUUGGAAAAGUAGAAAAGAAAAUAACGAUAAUAGGAUUUAAGGAUUUAAUGAGGAACAAUAUUAUAAUUUUCCAGGAAAGUUUUUUAAACCACCAUCGGUACCCAAGAUGUUGCCUUCAGAGUCUUAGGGAUAUCCGGACCGUGAGGAGCGAGGAAUGCGGCUCAGGUUGACCAAGUGUCCCUUGAGUCUUGCAAGGAAUGCGGCUGAGGUGACUUUGUGUUUCCAACGCCUGCGAAGAUGUGUCGCAUUAUGGGACACAAGGAAUUGACGGUAUAAUGUGGGAAUUAAGUAGAAAAUCAUGGAAUUGAUGGAUUUAUUAUGGGUACACCUAGGUGGAAGGAAAUUAUCUCUUUUCAAUGUUUUCAAAAGGUUUUUAUGAUUGGAUUGAAUGUUUGAUCAAUUAUAUGUAUAUAAAUAUGUAUGCCGUAAUUCUUGUACGAAUAUAGAACAUGGAUAUGAUUGGAUUUUCAAAUGGUUUUAAUAGUGGGGUUAGUAUGUUAAUAUUCUAUUUUCCAAAACUUUAUUUUUUCCACUCACGCUUUUAAAUGUUUUGCGCCCCCAGGCAGUAGUCGUGUACCAAAGCACCAUCAUAAGGCAGUCAUCACUCAUCUCUCAUCCUUUCCACUAUGUAGGACUUCUAAAGUAACAGAACUUUUCCUGUAAAUUAAAUUGAUUAGUAUUGCUCUGAAAUUGCCCUAUGACUUUUGUAAGGCUUGAGGCCAUAAAGUUCUAUUGUUGGAUUGCUUGAAUUCAAACUUGGUGCAUGCUGAACGAUUGUGGUUAUAAAUUAUUUUUUUGUAAAG
rnacentral:lncRNA from 1 species